rnacentral:rRNA from 1 species
UCCGUAGGUGAACCUGCGGAAGGAUCAUUAAUGAAAUUCAAGGACGCUCUUUUUAGAGGUCCGACCAAUUACAUUUUACCUUUACUCUGUGCACACACUACUCUUUACACCAUUUUUUAACUCUAUAGUUUUAAGAAUGUAAAACAAGUCUCGAAAGAGCAACAUAACAAAACAAAACUUUCGGCAACGGAUCUCUUGGCUCUCGCAUCGAUGAAGAACGCAGCGAAAUGCGAUACGUAAUGUGAAUUGCAGAAUUCAGUGAAUCAUCGAAUCUUUGAACGCACCUUGCACUCUUUGGUAUUCCGAAGAGUAUGUCUGUUUGAGUGUCAUGAAACUCUCAAGCCCCUCAUUUUGUAAUGAAGUGAGUCGUGGGCUUGGAUUAUGGCUGUCUGUCGGCUUCAUUGCCGGCUCAGCUGAAAUACACGAGUAACCCAGUUUGAAAAACUGACGGCUUGACUCGGCGUAAUAAUUAUUAUCGCUGAGGACGUCUAACCUUCAAAUCGUUAGUGGUGCUUCUAAUGCAAAUCAUUUUAAGAUUUAGACCUCAAAUCAGUCAGGAUUACCCGCUGAACUUAAGCAUAUCAAUAAGCGGAGGAAAAGAAACUAACAAGGAUUCCCCUAGUAACGGCGAGUGAAGUGGGAAAAGCUCAACUUUAAAAUCUGGCAGCUUCGCUGU